rnacentral:rRNA from 1 species
GUGGCCCUACGGGACGCAGCAGUGGGGGAUAUUGCACAAUGGGGGGAACCCUGAUGCAGCGACGCCGCGUGGGUGAAGGAGUGCUUCGGCAUGUAAAGCCCUAUCGGCAGGGAAGAAGCAAGACGGUACCUGACUAAGAAGCCCCGGCUAACUACGUGCCAGCAGCCGCGGUAAUACAUAGGGGGCGAGCGUUAUCCGGAUUCACUGGGUGUAAAGGGAGCGUAGACGGCCAAGCAAGCCAGGGGUGAAAGCCCGGGGCCCAACCCCGGGACUGCCCCUGGGGCUGCAUGGCUGG